AUUGAACGCUGGCGGCAGGCCUAACACAUGCAAGUCGAACGGAGUGGCGGACGGGUGAGUAAUGUCUGGGAAACUGCCUGGUGGUGGGGGAUACCGCCGGGAAACGGGCGCUAAUCCCGCAUACACUCAAAUGACCCCAGGUCGGAUUGGCUGGUUGGUGGGGUAAAGGCUUACCAAGGCGACUUUCCGUAACUGGUCUGAGAGGAUGACAAGUCACACUGGAACGUAGACACGGUCCAGACUCGUACGGGAGGCAGCAGUGGGGAAUAUUGGACAAUGGGCGAAAGCCUGAUCCAGCCAUGCCGCGUGUGUGAAGAAGGUCUUCGGAUUGUAAAGCACUUUAAGUUGGGAGGCGUUACCAACAGAAUAAGCACCGGCUAACUUCGUGCCAGCCGCCGCGGUAAUUC
rnacentral:rRNA from 1 species